AUUGCCUCAGUAACGGCGAGUGAAGCGGCAAAAGCUCAAAUUUGAAAUCCCCCCGGGGAGUUGUAAUUUGAAGAUUGCGUCUUGGAGGCGACCGUGUCUAUGUUCCUUGGAACAGGACGUCACAGAGGGUGAGAAUCCCGUGCGGCACGGCCCCCGGCUCCUUAUAAGGCGCUCUCGACGAGUCGAGCUGUUUGGGAAUGCAGCUCAAAGUGGGUGGUAAAUUCCAUCUAAAGCUAAAUACAGGCGAGAGACCGAUAGCGAACAAGCACAGUGAUGGAAAGAUGAAAAGCACUUUGAAAAGAGAGUGAAACAGCACGUGAAAUUGUUGAAAGGGAAGGGCAUGCCGUCAGAUUGUCAGUGUGGGUAAGAAGCGGGGUACAAAGACUGUGGAACGUGGCCCUCGGGUGUUAUAGCCGCAGUUCAUGCCCCGACUCUUUCCGAGGCCUGCUUUGAGGACACCGACGUAAUGACGGUACGCCGCCCGUCUUGAAACACGGACCA
rnacentral:rRNA from 1 species